GACGAACGCUGGCGGCGUGCUUAACACAUGCAAGUCGAACGUGAUUUUUAAGGAAAGCCCUUCGGGGAAGGAAUUAAAAUGAAAGUGGCGAACGGGUGAGUAACACGUGAGCAACCUACCUUACACAGGGGGAUAGCCGUUGGAAACGACGAUUAAUACCGCAUGAGACCACAGAAUCGCAUGAUAUAGGGGUCAAAGAUUUAUCGGUGUAAGAAGGGCUCGCGUCUGAUUAGCUAGUUGGAAGGGUAAGGGCCUACCAAGGCGACGAUAAGUAGCCGGUCUGAGAGGAUGAACGGCCACAUUGGAACUGAGACACGGUCCAAACUCCUACGGGAGGCAGCAGUGGGGAAUAUUGCACAAUGGGGGGAACCCUGAUGCAGCGACGCCGCGUGAGCGAAGAAGGUUUUCGAAUCGUAAAGCUCUGUCCUANGAGAAGAUAANGACG
rnacentral:rRNA from 1 species